ACACGACUACAUUAGAUACCCCUGUAGUCCUAGCCGUAAAUGAUACUCGCUAGGUGUCGGCCACGGUGCGACCGUUGUCGGUGCCGUAGGGAAGCCGUGAAGCGAGCCACCUGGGAAGUACGGCCGCAAGGCUGAAACUUAAAGGAAUUGGCGGGGGAGCACCACAACGGGUGGAGCUUGCGGUUUAAUUGGAUUCAACGCCGGAAAUCUUACCGGGACCGACAGCAACAUGAAGGCCAGGCUGAAGACUUUGCCGGAUUAGCUG
rnacentral:rRNA from 1 species